AUUAGGGUAGCUAGCCUGGCACAUGCAACAGACUUAAAAUCUCACCACGAAGGUUCAAAUCCUUCCCCUAACC
rnacentral:tRNA from 1 species